rnacentral:lncRNA from 1 species
AGCUUGCCAGGAAACUUGCAAGAUAAGUCUAACGAUAAAGAGUAGAUAGGUGCAUGAGGAUACCACUAGCAUGAAAGUAGCUAGAAAGAGGAUGAUCAAAGGAAGGAUACGAGAGUAAUGUGGGUCCAGGUGACUUGACCUUCAAGAAUUUUUGCGACCAUCACACCGUCGUUCGAAGAAGGUGGAUUAGGAUAGGGAUAGGAUGUAGUAUAGGUUAUGUAGGAGAGAUCUAAGUUAGCUUUGCUUCUAAGAUAGAGUCCUACUUGUAAAUUAAAUAUUGGAUAAGGUAAACCUAAUGCAAAGACAAGUAAAGAUAAAAUAAAAUUGACUGAUAUGUUAGAGGUCAAAAGGUCCCUGUUACAAAGCACGAUUCUACUUAUUUAUACUAAAUGACAAACUAUAAGUAACUACCUGCUUCUAGUAUUUGCUACCCAUGUCUGGCCUCCACUCUCUUUGAUGGUUCAGAUAACUGAUGCUAG